rnacentral:pre_miRNA from 1 species
CACCUACUCCCUCCGUUCGGAAUUACUUGUCUCGGAAAUGGAUGUAUCUAGAAUUAAAAUACGUCUAGAUACAUCCAUUUUCGCGACAAGUAAUUCCGAACGGAGGGAGUACUAC